AUCUUUGCGCUUGUGGCAAUGACGCAGCUAGUGAGGUUAUACCGAGGCGCGUCAAUUGCUGGUUGAAAACUAUUUCCAAACCCCCUCUUUGACCCUUCGGGGUCAUUGAGAAUUUCUGAAAGGGCUCCUUUCCUUUGGGGAGGGCAAAGCC
rfam:Triticum aestivum genome assembly, contig: Triticum_aestivum_CS42_TGACv1_scaffold_131496_2BL